CCUACGGGAGGCAGCAGUGAGGAAUAUUGGUCAAUGGACGCGAGCCUGAACCAGCCAAGUAGCGUGAAGGAUGACUGCCCUACGGGUUGUAAACUUCUUUUAUAAGGGAAUAAAGUGUUGCACGUGUGCCUUUUUGUAUGUACUUUAUGAAUAAGGAUCGGCUAACUCCGUGCCAGCAGCCGCGGUAAUACGGAGGAUGCGAGCGUUAUCCGGAUUUAUUGGGUUUAAAGGGUGCGUAGGCGGAUUUUUAAGUCAGCGGUAAAAUGUCCGGGCUCAACCCGGGCCGGCCGUUGAAACUGGGGAUCUUGAGUGGGCGAGAGGUAGGCGGAAUGCGUGGUGUAGCGGUGAAAUGCAUAGAUAUCACGAAGAACUCCGAUUGCGAAGGCAGUACACCGGAGUGCGACUGACGCUGAGGCACGAAAGUGUGGGGAUCGAACAGGAUUAGAUACCCUUGUAGUC
rnacentral:rRNA from 1 species